AAAGUCGAAGGUGUGAUGCGGACCGAAAAAGAGUAGGGAAGCUGUUAAGCAAGCCGUCAAGAAAAGCUGCUAUUGUUUCAUUAUGGCCCGUACCGUAAACCGACACAGGUGGAUGGGGAGAGAAUCCUAAGGCCGGCGGAAGAAGUAUUGUUAAGGAACUCGGCAAAAUGACCCCGUAACUUCGGGAGAAGGGGUGCCUGCGGGAGCAGGCCGCAGAGAAGAGGCCCAAGCAGCUGUUUAGCAAAAACACAGGUCUAUGCAAAACCGAAAGGUGAGGUAUAUGGGCUGACGCCUGCCCGGUGCUGGAAGGUUAAGGGGAGUGGUCAGGAAACGAAGCCACGAACUUAAGCCCCAGUAAACGGCGGCCGUAACGAUAACGGUCCUAAGGUAGCGAAAUUCCUUGUCGGGUAAGUUCCGACCCGCACGAAAGGCGUAAUGAUUUGGGCGCUGUCUCGACAAUACAUCCGGUGAAAUUGAAGUGCCAGUGAAGAUGCUGGCUACCUGCGCCAGGACGGAAAGACCCCAUGGAGCUUUACUCCAGCUUGAUACUGGGACCCGGUAUUGCAUGUACAGGAUAGGCGGGAGGCUAGGAAAUGUGGACGCCAGUCUGCAUGGAGCCGCUGUUGGGAUACCACCCUUGUGGUGCUGGGUUUCUAACCAGAGGCCGUGAACCGGUCUGGGGACAAUGUCAGGUGGGGAGUUUGACUGGGGCGGUCGCCUCCGAAAGGGUAUCGGAGGCGCCCAAAGGUUCCCUCAGAAUGGUUGGAAACCAUUCGAAGAGUGCAAAGGCAGAAGGGAGCUUGACUGCGACACCGACGGGUGGAGCAGGUACGAAAGUAGGGCUUAGUGAUCCGGUGGAAUUUAAGUGGGAAUGCCAUCGCUCAACGGAUAAAAGCUACCCUGGGAUAACAGGCUGAUCACUCCCAAGAGUUCACAUCGACGGAGUGGUUUGGCACCUCGAUGUCGGCUCAUCGCAUCCUGGGGCUGAAGUCGGUCCCAAGGGUUGGGCUGUUCGCCCAUUAAAGCGGUGCGCGAGCUGGGUUCAGAACGUCGCGAGACAGUUCGGUCCCUAUCCGGCGUGGGCGUAGGAUAUCUGAGAGGAGCUGUCCUUAGUACGAGAGGACCGGGAUGGACUGACCUCUGGUGUACCGGUUGGCGAUCAACGCCACGGCCGGGUAGCCAUGUCGGGACGGGAUAUACGCUGAAGGCAUCUAAGCGUGAAGCCCCCCUCAAGAUGAGAUAUCCCAUUCGAAAGAAGUAAGACCCCUUGAAGACGACGAGGUUGAUAGGGCAGGGGUGGAAGUGCUGUAAGGCAUGGAGCUGACUGCUACUAAUCGGUCGAGGGCUUGAUCAA
rnacentral:rRNA from 1 species